UAUGAGUGAGGAGUGUGAGAAGAGAAAGCAUCCAUGGGGGAGGGCCAAGGCAUCUGAGCUUUGCGUGUUCUGGCCAGUGCUCUUGAGAUUCAGUAAAGGCAAGUUUACAACUAAUAUCUAAUUUACUUAAAAGUGUCAUAAAAUUCUUAAGUUAUUAUAGUAUCUAAUUUAUUUGUACCUAAAGUAUCUGCUGUGGAAUCUCAACUUUAUCUUAUGCAAGCAUGAUAGUCACAAAAUUCUUUUCAACUGCAACCAAAGGUGAAAGAGGAUGCUGACCCAUCCCUUCUAUGGGCUUCUCAGUUGAUUGAUAGUCAUACUUCAUCAUGGCCUUUCCAUUAGUCCCUUAAGGAUAAGCAACUGGCGAAUAAACGCCUCCAACGGAUUAUUCCAUCAGCUGCAAGAGUACAAGUAAUCAGCUACUCAUUUGUUUUGCAAGUGAACCGCAUGCAUUUGCCAACUCAGAAGGAUCCACCCAGUGCCAUGGUUAUGGGAGAGAUCCAAUCUUUGUAAGCUACUGAGUUCACCAAAAGAUCUUGGGACCUUUCCUGUAAGCAUAUUGGAGGACAAAUUCAAAGUCUUCAGAUUUGUGCAAUUUGAAAGGGAAGGAGGAACUGAAUCCACUACAAAUGAAAUAUAUAAAUUACAAAAGUAAUAAUAACAUCCUAGAAUUUUGCUGAAAUUUCAAUGGAGUUUCCUUUGUAACCAAAUCAAAACCCAUGUGAAGGAAGAAAUUUGCAACACGGUAGUCUUGAACCCACAACAAUUAUCAAAAUGCCCAUCUAGGGCCUACUAGAAACUUAAGUGCAAAUUAAAAUCUUCAUUUUCAACUCAGGUCUCUAAACUCUAGUUAGUCUAAAUAAUUCUUUCUAGUUCUCCAAAAUUUAUGAAAAUAUUCCUAGAGAUCCUUUUCAAUAUCCUCCAAUUCUUAGAUUUUGUUUUGCUUAAUUUCAUUAAACUAUAAAUAUUUUAUGAAGCAAUUUUUAAUUCUAGUUUGAUGCCAAAACUAGAGAAAUUUUUGGAUUCAAAAUAGUGGGUUGAAAUCUUUGGAAUUUAAGAGGAGAGAAAAAAAUUACGAUGAGUUAACUAUUAUUUGAUAGUAUGAUAGUCGAACAUCCUUAUUUGAUAGGGAUAAUACUGAAUAAGGUGAGCUCACACUCAACACACAAACUAUAGGCUAAAUCACUCCACGCUAAACCGAAAUAACGUCACAUAUCUCAAUUAGUAAUUCUCUCAUUAUCUUACCUUUUUGGUGAUUUCUCGAGACAAACACCAACUUACACAUUACCUAACACCAUAGAUUUUUUUUGUCUGCAACAAAUUGGUGGAAGCGUGGUUGGCCAACAAGGAUUUUAGAAGAGCCUGGGACACGUGGGAAGGAGCCAGCAGACUCUGGCUGGCCAACGAAACUUCCAGAAAGGUCUGGUUGGCAUACGGAGGAGUCAGAGGGGUCUGGUUGGCCCACGAAAUUUCUGGAAUAGGCCAGAAGCGCCCAAAAUAGGCUGGAGUCUGCCAAAACAGGCCAAAAGCUUUUAGGAACCAGCAAGGCAACAGGUUCUCAGCAGGCAGCAUAGGUUCCACGUGCUGGUUGGCCAAUAGAAAUUCUCCAGGGGUAUGAAAUUACGGUUUAGUCCCUGAAACUUUUGAAAGGAGAAUUCUGGCCACAAAUUGGUGAAGCAUUUCCCACCACAUGCUAAGGAGGUGGAGUUGCCUAUAAAUAGGGCAACUCAGGUAGAUGGUAGAAGCCCUUCCAGAAGAAGAAGCCCUUCCAGAGAGAAGCUCCUUCCCAACUCAGAAUCUCCCUUCCCUAUUUUGAGAGUCUCCCAGCAGUGAGGAGUGUGCAGUAGCAAUUCUGCCGGCUAAGAGCAGAAUGCUGCUGGCUAGCCAAGUGGGGAACAUCAGUGGCUAGCCAGCCAGCCAAGCAGUAGGCAGCAACAGGCUGAGUGGGCAAUAACCACUCCAGCAGAGAAAGUGGUGAGCUGUGAGAGCCCUUUCCUAAUAAUGUACCUUUGUACCCCCUUUUGUACAUGUUAAGCUUGUAUUGUAAUUGUCAAUUGUUUGAGUGAAUGAAGCUCUUUAUUUUUCCUUCCA